rnacentral:rRNA from 1 species
GAUUAACGCUGGCGGCGUGCAUAACACAUGCAAGUCGAACGAUGAAACUCAUUAGAUUUCUUCGGAAUGAAAAUGAAUGGAUUAGUGGCGAACGGGUGAGUAACGCGUGAGUAACCUGCCUUACACAAGGGGAUAGCCUCUGGAAACGGAGAAUAAUACCCUAUGAAACCAGACAAUCGCAUGAUAAUCUGGUCAAAAUGUUUAGUGGUGUAAGAUGGACUUGCGUCUGAUUAGCUAGUUGGUGAGAUAAAAGCUCACCAAGGCAACGAUCAGUAGCCGGCUUGAGAGAGUGUACGGCCAAAUUGGGACUGAGACACGGCCCAGACUCCUACGGGAGGCAGCAGUGGGGAAUUUUGCACAAUGGGGGAAACCCUGAUGCAGCGACGCCGCGUGAUUUAGAAGGCCUUCGGGUUGUAAAAAUCUUUUGUAUAGGAAGAAAAUGACAGUACUAUACGAAUAAGGUCCGGCUAAUUACGUG